rnacentral:rRNA from 1 species
GUCUUGUAAUUGGAAUGAUGGUGACCUAAACCCUCACCAGAGUAACAAUUGGAGGGCAAGUCUGGUGCCAGCAGCCGCGGUAAUUCCAGCUCCAAUAGCGUAUAUUAAACUUGUUGCAGUUAAAAAGCUCGUAGUUGAAUUUCUGCGUUAUCGAGUUAUUGACUCUUGUCUUUAAUCGAUUUCGCUUUUGGGAUUUAUCCCUUUUUACUUUGAGAAAAUUAGAGUGUUUCAAGCAGACUUUUGUCUUGAAUACUUCAGCAUGGAAUAAUAGAGUAGGACUUUGGUUCUAUUUUGUUGGUUUUUGAACCUUAGUAAUGGUUAAUAGGAACGGUUGGGGGCAUUCGUAUUUAACUGUCAGAGGUGAAAUUCUUAGAUUUGUUAAAGACGAACUACUGCGAAAGCAUUUGCCAAGGACGUUUCCAUUAAUCAAGAACGAAAGUUAGGGCGAAGCAUCAGAACUCGUAGUCCUAACCAUAAACUA